GAUGAACGCUGGCGGCGUGCCUAAUACAUGCAAGUCGAGCGAACAGACGAGGAGCUUGCUCCUCUGACGUUAGCGGCGGACGGGUGAGUAACACGUGGAUAACCUACCUAUAAGACUGGGAUAACUUCGGGAAACCGGAGCUAAUACCGGAUAAUAUAUUUAACCGCAUGGUUCAAUAGUGAAAGACGGUUUUGCUGUCACUUAUAGAUGGAUCCGCGCCGCAUUAGCUAGUUGGUAAGGUAACGGCUUACCAAGGCAACGAUGCGUAGCCGACCUGAGAGGGUGAUCGGCCACACUGGAACGGAGACACGGUCCAGACUCCUACGGGAGGCAGCAGUAGGGAAUCUUCCGCAAUGGGCGAAAGCCUGACGGAGCAACGCCGCGUGAGUGAUGAAGGUCUUCGGAUCGUAAAACUCUGUUAUUAGGGAAGAACAAAUGUGUAAGUAACUAUGCACGUCUUGACGGUACCUAAUCAGAAAGCCACGGCUAACUACGU
rnacentral:rRNA from 1 species